AGUCGAGCGGCAGCGGGAAAGUAGCUUGCUACUUUUGCCGGCGACGGCGGACGGGUGAGUAAUGCCGGGAAAUUGCCCAGUGGGGGAUAACAGUUGGAAACGACUGCUAAUACCGGCCCUACGGGGUAAAGCAGGGGACCUUCGUGCGCGAUUGGAUAUGCCCAGUGGGAUUAGCUAGUUGAGUGAGGUAAUGGCUCACCAAGGCGACGAUCCCUAGCUGGUCUGAGAGGAUGAUCCCAGGCGCACUGAAGCUGUGACGCCAUCCAGACCCUCACCGAAGGCAGCACUGGGGAAUACUGCAAAAUCGGGGACACCCUGAUGCAGCCAUGGGGCGAGGGUGAAGCCGGCCUCGGGACUUUAACCCACUUUUCGCGAGAAGGGUUGACGACUAACACGCAUCACCUGUGACGUUACUCGCGGAAGCAGCACCGUAACUCUGCCAGCAGCCCCGGUAGUACGGAGGAUGCAAGCGUUAAUCGGAAUUACUCGGAGUAAAGCACACGCACCGGCGCUUGGAUGGGCUAGAGGCGAAAACCCCGAGUUUGAACCUGGCAACUGUACUCCGAAAGCGGUCGAGCUAGAGUCUUAUCGCCGGAGGCAGCGCCUCAAGGUACAACGUCGAAAUCCGCAGAGUUCAGGACCUGGACUACCGCGGUAGCGAAGGCGGCCCCCUCGACAAAGACUCGCGCUCAGGUGCCAAACCGUGGCGAGCAAACCGCCUUCGCUACCGGUAGUCCCCGUGAUCGAUACCGAUUUCGAUGCUGUGUCUGAGACGCGGCCUCCGGAGACAAGACGUUAACCCGACCGCCUGGGGUACGGCCGCCAGGUUGAGACCGGAGAAUUGACCCGGGGCCUGACAAGCGGUGGAGCGUGUGGUUUAAGCCGAGUCAUUGCGAAGAACCUUACCUGGCCUUGCCACGUCUGCAGUCCUGUAGAGAUACGGGACUGCCUCCGGGAAUCACGACACAGGUGCUACAACGCCGUCGUCAGCUCGUGACGUGCGAUACUGGGUUAAGUCCCGCAACAAGCGCGAGCCCUGUCCUUUGGCGUCAGCCCAUAGUGCUGGGAACUCCAGGGCGACCGCCGGUAAUAGACUGGACGAUGGCGCGGUUGACGUCCGAGUCGUCAUCCCCUACGACCAGGGCUACACCCGUGCCAAAGUGGCCCGUAACCAGGGCUGCAAGCUAGCCCUAGGUGGGCGAAUCCGAUGAAGCGAGGCGUGGGGGUCGGCGUCUGUGACCCGACUCCGUGAAGUCGGAAUCGCUAGCAUUCCCAUCAAUCAGAAUGUUGCGUUGAAUACGUUCCCGGACAUUGUACACACCGCCCGUCACACCAUGGGAGUGGGUUGCACCAGAAGUAGAUAGCUUAACCUUC
rnacentral:rRNA from 1 species